rnacentral:lncRNA from 1 species
AAGUAAGUAGAAAUUCAAAGAAUGUGUAUAGUAUCAGUGCAACAUCACACACACACGCGUGCGCGCGCACACACACACACAAGUUCUUACAGAACAACAGUUAACUGGAAGACAUAACUGCCUAGGGAAGGCAUAGCUGUCAAUUUUCUCCCUAAGUAUGUUCCUUUCUUUACAUGUGUCCAUGAAAAACUGGUCUGCAUGUGUGGAAGAGAGACAGUGUGUGUGUGAUGAAUUUUGGUCCUGUUUUAUUCAGAGAAUUCCCUCAUUUUCCUGUCUUUAGAUAAAAAAGAAGCAACUUUGCUGAUUCUGUUGUUCUUCAUGGAUCCACCACGGAGUGAUUCUUAACUUCUUUCCAACUUCUACGCUUUCUGCACAGAGCAGCUGUGACUAUUCUGACAGAUCCUUGGGACUAAUCAUUCAUUCUCCAGCCCUUCCAUCCUAGCAUACUGUGAACCCAGAUGAUUUAAUUCAGCCCAGCACUGUGUUCAGACAGCAAACUACACAUCCCAGCCUUCCUAGCAGCCGAAGGAGGCCAACAAAAUGGAAGCAGGGGUUGUUGUUGGAUUGGGUUCCCAGGGAACCUGGUGCAGCUAGGAGCUGGAAGCACAGAGGAUGCCCACGUCAUUGAACACAGGUAUCCAGCAUCUGGAAACCAGGCAUCCAAGAUGGCAGCAGGACUCAGUCUUCUGAUUGGGAGCCAAUUAAAAAGUCAAAGUAUUAUUCAUUUCCUUUACCAUACAAAAGAAAAUAAAGAGGUAUAGAGAAUGUUGAGUGGUUCCUUUGUGAGAGUACUGUUGGUGGGAAUUCCUUCUAUAGAAUGAGAGGGGAAUGUGGGAAGAAGAAGAAAAAGUUUCCUUAAAGAUGCAAAUCCUCAAUUUUUUCAUGUAUGUUUAGAUUUCCACAUCAGCAUUGGCCUCUUCUGUUUCUACUUCUUUAGCUGUCUUGUAGGAGAGGUAGACUGCAAUAAGUGGAGAGAUGGGUGUUUAAAUCCAGGGCCUUUGAUCUCAACAUGCAUUUCAGCUUUUCCUUUCCUUUGAUUUCAUUUUUGCUCUCAGAAGAAGCCAGAGGCAGGGAUGUAUUUCCCCAAAACAUGAAGGCACUUGUGCCAUUUUCCAGGGAACCUGCCCAGUAGUAGGGAUCUGGGAUGGCACAAAGUAGGGACAGUCUGUUAUGGCUCUGUCUCCCCAUAUUGGCUUCUACACGUGUGACUUCUAGACUACUUUGUGUAAAUCCUGAAAGAUGAACCAGAAAAUUAUUUUAGUAGAAAUGCAUGCAUUUUACAAUGAAUUAAGGGGAGGUAGUCAUGAUUUGCAAUGAGGAUUCAAUGCACUUCUCCAAAUGUCUCUCCCUUCUGUAGAAAGCUAAAUAAAUAAUGUUUCUGUCUAGAAAACGGAGGGUAC